GUGAUUCUCCUGCCUCAGCCUCCCAAGUACCUGAGAUUACAGAGGAGAGCGUGGCUGGCUCUGAUGUUCAAUGAUAUGGGAACAGAGAGAGGUAGGAAGGCCUGAACCAGCCAAGAGACUUUACCAGAGGUAAAAAUUCCUCUUCCUUCAAUGCCUCAAAUCAGGAUCUUGAAGUUGGAAAAUAACAAAAGCCUGUACAGAUUCCACUUUGAUUGUUUUUGGCAAGGCUAUUUCAUAACUACCUGUGGUGAUCUAGAGGGUUUCUCAGAAGAAAUGACAUUUGUGAAAGGAGUCCAGAAGCUGAGUGAUAAUAAAAGCUAUAGUUCAAAACCACACUAAGCACACUUCAUGUCAUCCUCUGUGUAGCCAGCCUCCAAGGUGGCCUCCAGUGAUCCUAAAGUCCUGUGUUCAUGCCUUUGUAUAGCCUCUCCCAACACUGAAUCAUGCCUGGCCUGUUACCAGUAGAGUAUGGCACACAUUGUGACGUCCAAGGCUUGGUCAUAAAAGACAUAUGCAACUUCCUUGUGCUUUCCCUUGCAUCAUCUGUUCUAGACAAAGCAGCUGCCAUUUUAUGAGGACACACUCAAGCAGCUCUAUGGAGAGGCCCACGUGGUGAGAAACUGAGGCCUCCUGCCAAAAACCUGCAUCAACUUGUCAGUCACGUGACUGAACCAUCCUGGGAGCAGAUCUUCCUGCUCCAGACAACGCUGCAGUUGAUCACAGCCCCAGUGGAUACCUUGGCUGCAGAGAGACCAUGAUCUAGAACCAGUUAGCUAAGUUGCUCCUGAAUUCCUGACUCACGAAACUGUUUAAGAUAAUAAAUAUCGUAUGUUGUAACAAGUCA